rnacentral:rRNA from 1 species
UACGGGGGGGGCAAGCGUUGUUCGGAAUUACUGGGCGUAAAGGGCUCGUAGGUGGCCAACUAAGUCGGACGUGAAAUCCCUCAGCUUAACUGGGGAACCGCGUCCGAUACUGGAUGGCUUGAGUUUGGGAGAGGGAUGCGGAAUUCCAGGUGUAGCGGUGAAAUGCGUAGAUAUCUGGAGGAACACCGGUGGCGAAGGCGGCAUCCUGGACCAACACUGACACUGAGGAGCGAAAGCCAGGGGAGCAAACGGG